AGUGGUUUAGCAUUCAGCUGCUAACUGAAAGGUCGGUGGUUUGAAUCCACCAACUGCUC
rnacentral:tRNA from 1 species